AUUACUGAAUAAAGACCCAAAAGCAGAACCCUAACUCUAAUAACCAGACCCAUCGCUUAUUACAACUUACAAGAGCCCUACAUCAAAUAACCCAACCUAGAUGAUCAAGAUUCGGAUCUUAUCAUCCUCACACGAGCUUGAAGCUCUAGUAGCUGCCUGGGCACCAAAGUAACCAGAUGACCCAACGUCGAGGUCCAUCGCAACUCCGCUAGGGAUACCUCACAGUAGCAGAUAACAUACCAAUCUACGCUUAAAUGAGGCCAUAUAAGCAAAUCCCCAAAACAAAACGAUGUCCUAGGGUUCCUCCUUUGCUUCAACAGGGACCCAACUUAAUCAGAUUAAGGGCGAUAUGGUAGAGCUCUACAACACCAGCUAUCAAUCUAACAAGUAGCAGAAAAGAGAGUCCCCAAAGAUGCCAUAUCCACUAAAAUAGACCCCAUAAAACAGACCUAUUACCAACAAGCAGAAUCGCUACCCAGGAGGACAGCAUCACCAACGCUGCACAUAAGAUCCAUCACCAUCAUAGGUUUCUCCAAGACCCUCUCCAAAUCAA
rnacentral:misc_RNA from 1 species